rnacentral:lncRNA from 1 species
ACCUUGUUAGUUUUUGCAAUCUGAUCGGGUAUGAAGGCGAACGUGUGCGUAUGGUUGACAUAAGUGGCGCAUGGAGCGGUCGAAGCCUCAUAGGAUCCGUCAGACUAUUCAUUGCUAACUUAGAUUUUUAAAUUACAGAAAUGUCGUGUACAGGUCUAGAAAUCGCAUCAAUCGAUACUUAUCCUUUAUGCUGAUGAGAGAAGUUCAUAAGUGGAUCUCCCCAGAAGAGAAGAAUAGUUCAAGAGUUGCAGCUAGGUAAAUUCACAAAUAGAAGAUGUCAAAGAUUGUCAAGG